UUUCUUUCUUUUUUUGGGACGGCGAUCGACAAUUCUUCUAAACCGCUUCAGUUAGCCGGAGAGGGCUGCUGAGCUGCACCACCGUCACCUUCAGGCUGAGCGGGUGAAGGAUCAGCUGUCAAUCAUCCAGUCAGAUCAACUGCUUUUGAUGAUAUUUGACUCCUGAAGUUUGCGGAUGACACCACCCUCCUUGGACUGAUCUCUGGUGGGGUGAUUGAGUCCGCCUACAGGUGCGAGGUCUGACCUUCUGGCGCAGCCAGAACAACAUCAACGCUCUGAAGACAGUGGAGAUGGUUGUGGAUUUCAGAAAGAACGCAGUCCCACGUUGAGCUGAACAUCAGCUCCAUCACCACAAAGGCUCAGCAGAGGUUGUUCUUCCUGAGGCAGCUGAAGAAAUUCAACCUGCCAAAGACGAUGAUGGUGCACCAACCGAGGACGAGGGCAGGAUGCAAAUCUGCCGUCCCUGCAGGACUUGUUCGCUUCCAGGUCUCUGAAGCGAGCUAGAAAGAUGGUAGCCGACCCCUCUCACCCCGGACCAAAACCUGUUUGUGCCCCUUCCAUCUGGCAGGAGGCUGAGGUCCAUCAGGACUAAGACCUCCCGCCACACCAACAGUUUCUUCCCGUCGGCAGUCGGGCUCAUCAACAGAGCCGGUCCCCCACUGACUGACUCUGACGUCCCACCGGUCACUCCCUUCACACACCUGUCACAUGUCACUUACACUCAUU
ensembl:lncRNA